rnacentral:lncRNA from 1 species
UGGAGUGGAGCCCCUAGGAGAUAUACAAAUGAACCUAGACCACACCACUACUAAGAUCCCUUCCUCUGCUGCCUCCUAGUCAGAGAAAGAAAAUAAACACUGAGAUCACCCCAGAGCUGCAGUGGGCAGCCAGGAGUGCCAAGUCAUGAUCUACAGCCAGCACUCAAGAGCAAGUAAGAAAUAACACUAUAAAUCUAACUUCUUUCUUUAAAAGAAAAUGUGCUUAUGCAUUCAUAACAUCCAUUAAGGGCACUGGGAAACUGGAAAGAUCAUUUCAUUUUCUUCUUUUUA